GUCAGUUUAUACGACUGACGGAAGUGGAAUUGACCACAGGAAGUAUGAAUGGAUUUGAAUGCCGACCGUCUGGGCAGUGAUG
rnacentral:ncRNA from 2 species